ACAGGGAUCCCCUAGUACGGCGAGUGAGCGGGAACAGCUCAAAUUUGAAAUCUGGCCCUCGGGUCCGAGUUGUAAUUUGUAGAGGAUGCUUUUGGUGCGGUGCCUUCCGAGUUCCCUGGAACGGGACGCCUUAGAGGGUGAGAGCCCCGUACGGUUGGACGCCUAGCCUCUGUAAAGCUCCUUCGACGAGUCGAGUAGUUUGGGAAUGCUGCUCUAAAUGGGAGGUAUAUUUCUUCUAAAGCUAAAUACUGGCCAGAGACCGAUAGCGCACAAGUAGAGUGAUCGAAAGAUGAAAAGCACUUUGAAAAGAGGGUUAAAUAGCACGUGAAAUUGUUGAAAGGGAAGCGUUUAUCACCAGACUUUUUCUAGGGGGAUCAUCCGGUGUUCUCACCGGUGCACUUCCCCUAGUUGAGGCCAGCAUCGGUUUUCGGAGGGGGAUAAAAGCUUCGGGAAUGUGACUCCCUCGGGAGUGUUAUAGCCCGUUGCAUAAUACCCUUCUGGGGACCGAGGUUCGCGCAUCUGCAAGGAUGCUGGCAUAAUGGUGAUCAACGACCCGUCUUGAAACACGGACCAAGGAGUCGAACAUUUAUGCGAGUGUUUGGGUGUCAAACCCUCACGCGUAAUGAAAGUGAACGGAGGUGAGAGCCCUUACGGGUGCAUCAUCGACCGAUCCUGAUGUCUUCGGAUGGAUUUGAGUAAGAGCAUAACUGUUCGGACCCGAAAGAUGGUGAACUAUGCGUGGAUAGGGUGAAGCCAGGAGAAAUCCUGGUGGAGGCUCGCAGCGGUUCUGACGUGCAAAUCGAUCGUCAAAUCUGCGCAUGGGGGCGAAAGACUAAUCGA
rnacentral:rRNA from 1 species